UUGGGUUUUAGAUCCAAUAGAUGGUACUAAGAGUUUCAUCACAGGGAAACCUGUGUUUGGCACUCUUAUUGCUCUGUUGUACAAAGGUAAACCGAUUCUUGGCGUUAUUGACCAGCCUGUACUGAGAGAGAGGUGGAUUGGUUUAAGCGGGCGACGAACUACCUUGAAUGGGCAAGAAAUAUCCACACGCAACUGUUCAAGUCUUUCAAAAGCCUACAUGUACACUACUAGCCCACAUUUGUUCGAAGGGGAUGCUGAGAUUGCCUUUGCUCGUGUUAGAAGCAAGGUGAAAGUUCCACUGUACGGAUGUGACUGCUAUGCUUAUGCCCUAUUGGCUUCUGGAUUUGUGGAUCUUGUAGUAGAGUCUGGUCUUAAGCCGUACGACUUCCUCUCACUUGUACCAGUAAUAGAAGGUGCUGGAGGAACAAUAACCGACUGGAAAGGCCAACAUUUUAAUUGGAAAGCUUCUGCUGGUUCACCAGCCACAAGUUUUAAUGUAGUGGCAGCCGGUGAUAAAGAAGUUCACCAAGAAGCUCUGGAUGCAUUGCAGUGGCGGUAGAGGCUGCUAUGUUUCACUGUAUUGGCUCACAACUCCCUUUGGCGAAUAUCAUAGUUAUUGAUUACUUUGCCGCUGAGUCUCUACAUUAAUUUUAACUUUUGAAUCAAA
rnacentral:misc_RNA from 1 species